rnacentral:rRNA from 2 species
CCUACGGGAGGCAGCAGUGGGGAAUAUUGGACAAUGGGGGCAACCCUGAUCCAGCCAUGCCGCGUGAGUGAUGAAGGCCUUAGGGUUGUAAAGCUCUUUUAUCCGGGACGAUAAUGACGGUACCGGAGGAAUAAGCCCCGGCUAACUUCGUGCCAGCAGCCGCGGUAAU